rnacentral:rRNA from 1 species
UACGUAGGGUGCGAGCGUUGUCCGGUAUUAUUGGGCGUAAAGGGCUCGUAGGCGGUUUGUCGCGUCGGGAGUGAAAUCCACUGGCUUAACUGGUGGCUUGCUUUCGAUACGGGCAGACUGGAGGUAUGCAGGGGAGAACGGAAUUCCUGGUGUAGCGGUGAAAUGCGCAGAUAUCAGGAGGAACACCGGUGGCGAAGGCGGUUCUCUGGGCAUGUCCUGACGCUGAGGAGCGAAAGUGUGGGGAGCGAACAGG